UCUAUUUGGAGAUCCCCUCCUUUUUCAGUAUGUUCUGAUCCUUGGAAAGGGGAUUCCUAAAAGCAGAGCUGCUUGCAAAACAAAUGGAAGAAAUUGCUUUCAUUGGGCUUCCCUCUUCACCCCUCAGUGAGAACCUCUGGAGUUGUACCAUGCAGCUCCAUUGCUUCAUGCAGCAGUGCUCUGGCUGUGAGUUCCAGUAAUCUGACUACCCAGCUCGAUUCCUGUGAAGGUCACUACAUGUGCUCACUACCAGCGGGAUUUGUCCCCUUUGCUUUAUGCCCAUGCCAUCACUGACACCUGCCCUUGCAGUCUCUGCCCCCACACACCAAGCAUUGCAGACCAGCACAGCCAUAUCCGCACUCCCUCUGAGCAGCUGCGUGCUCACAAGGGUUGUGGAGUAUCUGCUGGGGCUGCUUUGCAUCAACGUCCUCCUGGCCAGGGUGCUGUGAGCUCCAACGUGUCAAGUAGCCAAGAUGGAGCAGCAGUGUGAAAGAUGCACUAUACGAGAGCUGUUAUAAACCAAAGUGCUGCUAUAUGUAUUUUUUACUUUGUCCCAAGAAGCAUACACUGUCAUCUUUUGGUCUAUUUUGGUUCCUGAGGAUGUGAAUAGAAUUAUGACGCAGGGUAACUAAUUAAGACUAGUUGCAGGAUGAUUAAAUUAAGCAGCAUUUUUCUUUGGAAGAACCAUGAGCAUUUCAUGCCUUAGAUAAGUGAUUUCCAUAUGCUUUCCCUUGGCUAGGAAAUGCAAGUUGCUUGCUACAUCCCUGCUGACUUUGGUUGCUGAAUUCUUGAUGUUAGAGAUAAUGAAAACUAUCAUAUCCCAUGCUCUCCUACAGACUUUCUGUUCAGUGUGGAGUCUGAGCAUUUCCUCCCAUCAGCAGUAAUGAUAAUGGGUCUCACUUAAUGAGCAGUCACUAAGAUAAAUGUACGCAUGACAACAAAUUAGCUUAUAUAUAUAUAUAUCCAUAUAGCUAUGGAUGCAACCCUGAAAGAAAAUUACCACAGGACCCCAGAAUCUCUCCUGGUGGUCUUCGAUUUCUUGGUCCCUUAAUGAAAAAGGAGGAUUAUCACCUUAGUCAGGAGUGAUCCCUGCAAUUGGCUCAUUCUUUAAAGAGAUACUGUAAAGAAGGGCCGUGCUUUCCAAAAGCAGUUUCUGAAAUGUAACUGUAGACCACAGGAUUGCAUUGAUGCAGCAGCUUGGCUAUGACCUGAGGAGGCUGAGAAUAGCACUGGGGCCUCUGCCAAAACUGAGCCUCAUCUCAUCUCUCGGGCAUGCAGGGAUAACUCUCUUAUUCAGACAAAGCAAAAGCAGGACAAGGCAAACUACCUGUAAACAAGCGCCAGUGUGCAAAUGUGGAGCCAUCCACUUUGAUAAAUGCUGUAAUGGUAUCCCUGCAGCAGCUGCUGCUUCCAGUGCAUCUGGGCAGGCAAGAGCUGCUUGUCCUCUGCAUCACCCCUACAGUGCCAAACCAUGGUCAGCAGUGUUGCAGGAAGUCAGGGCCACACGAUCUCACUACAGGUCACUUAAAGUUGGUUUUAUCUGUAAGUAGCUCCUGUCAGCCUUAACAUGUGCAAAGCCUUAUGGAAGAAGUGCCUGGUCUCAGCCCAUUUGCAGAGAGGAUGUGUUCCCUUUGCAGCACCAACCAAAAUGGCCAGCUCUGGCUGCAUGCAUCCUCAGCACAGAGAUGAUAUGCUUCCCUCUCACCCAACAGGAGGUCAGCAUGCCGUGGAAUAAGACGUGGGUGGCAAAACUUGCCCUUGACUGCCCUCAUGCCAUUUUUCUUGGCAUAAGGUGACUUCAGUUUCCAGGGUUGCUAAUCCACUGUAAAGUUCACCUCGUAGCUGGAGGGAGAGCUGCAGCUU